rnacentral:piRNA from 1 species
UACCGAACAUGAACAGGGCCCGGAAGC